GGUGAUCUGCCUCUAGUAGGAGCAUUUCCGGAUCUAGCAUUCUGUGUUACCUCUCGGCUAGCCACUUCUGGACAUUCUCGUACAAAAUGAUCUGGAGCACCACAUUUAUAGCAAACAUUUUCGCCUGCCCGACAAGGACCAUAAUGAAGUCUACCACACCGUGGACACCCUGAUCUACCCUGUCUGACAUUACCUACACUCGUAGUCGAGGUGGUCUGAGCCUUCGGAUCCUUAAAUUUGCUACCUCUAUUCUGACUAGAUUGCCC
rnacentral:lncRNA from 1 species